GCAAAAAAACAACAUGCAGUUGUUCUUGCUGCAACUAUUCUACGAGUACGGCAAAGCUUUGGCGAGAUCAUAGAUGUAAAUUACUAAAAGAAGUGCGGAAAUGAGGAGAGCUUGUUGGUAUUCAAUGCGCUACAAGGCAACUGAAGCCUGAUAAUAUAAAGAGUAUGGAAGAAUGGCAAAGUUUCAUCAAGAAACGACUGGGGUUCUCAAAGUUUCUUGAUUGAGGUGGCAGAUCAAGUGUCAGUUUGAUUCUUGUUAGAUGAUGUCUACUGCCAGUGCUAUCAUGAGGUUUUUGCAUAGGUUACGUUGUAGUUUUGGCAGCACUAUUAUGAGUGAAUGAGUUGGAGGCUGUGUACAAGUUAA